ACUCCGAAUCAAAUACGAGAUAAACCUCCGACUCCCACUAGCGAUAUAAAUACAGAGGAGGGACGCCCAAAUCCAACGUGCAAAAUUUAUAACCCUAAUUGCCCGAUCACUUGGAGCUGGAAGGGAGUCGUGAGGUAAUCUCAGGACAUUGCAGGUAAAGACCCGAAGGCUGUAGGUUUAGAAGUGAUCACCGGCUAUCUAAUCUCGUCGGGAAGGAAGGGAAGGGAAUCAGAUGGCUUCAUCUGUAGGUCAAUAUUUAGUUUUCCACAUUUGAAUUAAUUGGUGAUCAUGUAU
rnacentral:lncRNA from 1 species